rnacentral:rRNA from 1 species
UAAUCACUUGUCUUUUAAAUGAAGACCUGUAUGAAUGGCAUAACGAGGGUUUAACUGUCUCCUAUCCCCAGUCAAUGAAAUUGAUCUAUCCGUGCAGAAGCGGAUAUAAACACAUAAGACGAGAAGACCCUAUGGAGCUUUAGGCAAAGGACCAAACAUGUUAAUAGACCAUAAAAUCUAAAAGAAAUAACAAACAGUCACAUAAACAAAUGUAAAUUGAUCCAAAUGCCUUAGGUUGGGGCGACCACGGGGAAAAAAGAAACCCCCACAUGGAAUGGAAGCACUUUCCUAAACCAAGAAAUACACCUCCAAGUAACAGAACAUCUGACCAAAAAUGACCCAGGACAAACAUCCUGAUCAAUGAACCAAGUUACCCUAGGGAUAACAGCGCAAUCCUUUCCCAGAGCCCA